rnacentral:rRNA from 1 species
GAUGAACGCUAGCUCCAGGCUUAACACAUGCAAGUCGAGGGGAAACGACAUCGAAAGCUUGCUUUUGAUGGGCGUCGACCGGCGCACGGGUGAGUAACGCGUAUCCCACCUGCCCAUCACUUGGGUAUAACCUUGCGAAAGUAAGACUAAUACCCAAUGAUAUCUCUAGAAGACAUCUGAUAGAGAUUACAGCUUUAUCGGUUAUGGAUGGGGAUGCGUCUGAUUAGCUUGUUGGCGGGGUAACGGCCCACCAAGGCAACGAUCAGUAGGGGUUCUGAGAGGAAGGUCCCCCACAUUGGAACUGAGACACGGUCCAAACUCCUACGGGAGGCAGCAGUGAGGAAUAUUGGUCAAUGGGCGAGAGCCUGAACCAGCCAAGUAGCGUGCAGGAAGACGGCCCUAUGGGUUGUAAACUGCUCUUAUAAGGGAAUAAAGUGAGAGUCGUGACUCUUUUUGUAUGUACCUGAUGAAUAAGGACCGGCUAAUUCCGUG